GUUUGACACCACUGGGCUAGACAGUCAAAUCCACCACCAUUAACAGAGCACAAUCAGAGUACUAGAGCUCCACACAGAGAGAAGUGCACGUCGCUGUCUCGACAGCAGAGUUGUGCUCAUCUAAUCGCUGAGUGAUCGUGUAUGCUCUGUAAAUAGGGGCCAUGCCAUCCUGGAAGACACUACGCCCUUCCUCUAGAAAGGCAGCGUGCAAGUCAUUUGCACAGAGUCAUUAACAUUGACCUGGUCGUCGUAGGGUUUAAGUGCACUAGACUCACCUGUCUAGCACUGAGCCUCCAGACACUGUACAGACAACAGGGUCCACUCAGGAGUGUACUCGUCCAACCACAGUUUGCCUUUGCUGAUGAUGUCUUUCUCUCAGACUUCCUCAUACCACCAUGUGCAUGCUCGUAGGCUUGCACACUGGCCUUUGGGGUACGGGGCCCGUGGUUUAGUGUUGGUUGUAUCUAUUAUGUUUUGCCAUUAGAAUAACUAGUAAUAUGAAAUAAAAAAUGUAAAAAUGGAUGAUUUAUAUACACUCUCAGGUACGCUUUUAUCCAGAGUGGUUCCACUCCAAGCAAACUAAGCGGAAUGAGCUCACAGACAGGUAGGCGUUGAGACGAUGCGUGAUGUGACUGUCACACUUUAAAUCAAAAGUUAUCCCUCCUUAUAGAGGAAGGGCCUGUUUGAGUGUGCGAGACCUUUCGGCUGAAAACGCCGGGGCACAGAGCAUUCAUGUGAAAUCAGUCCGUCUGUAAACAGACAGGAGCUGAAAGGGGCUCAGCGCAGAACCAACAUCGGUUUCUGAGUGAGAGUGCAGGAACCGCGCGGCCCUCUCCUCUGGCUUUACCUUCCCUCCAUUUGUUCAGUCCGCAACGCGUGACCAUGACAGCAGCCGCUGACACCCGAUAAUAAUUAAGACCAGGUCUUGCUCAUUUCCCAGCAACCCCAGUGCCUCUGAAAGCUUUAUAUGAUGUUGUUGAGAUAUGAUUGCUGAGAAAUUUGGCUCAAAGCAAUAACUAUCAACAAUCCACUGCAUGAAAACCUUGUUUCAUUUUCAUUCUCACAGAUAAACAUUAUUUGUGCCCCCAUGCCUUCAUUUCAGUGGAGGUUUUAUAUAAAUCACAAAAAAAUUAAUCUCAACUUCAUUUCACAAAAAUUAAUGACACUUUUAUGUAAUCUAGCAGAGAUAAAUGGCAACCAUUAAACAUUGUUUAUAUUGUCUGGAACUGAGAAAAGAUAUUUUUGCAGACGAAGCGGACUGAACUCACAGACAGGUAGGCGUUGAGACGAUGCGUGAUGCGUGUGCUCCACCUCCACGGCAGCUCUCCUCCUCUUCCUCAGCAGGGGGGUUUGAUGUCUCUGAUUCGAGUGUGGGAGGGCGAGUUUAGCCCAGCGUGGGAUGUGUCCUCCUGCACCCCACGAGAGGUGGGACACAGUGGGGGGAUAGAUUCACACAGACAAGACCCCCCUCCCAAAACUGGCUCUAAGCUGAGACCGCGCCCUUUCUCCGUGCAUUUAUUUAUUUAUUUUUAGAAGGCCUCAAUCUUGGCUCAUGCUCUUAUCAUCACUAUGGUCAGAAACCAGCCUACAGGCAUAAAAGGGCAUAAAAUCAAAGAUGAUAAAACUGGCAAUAUUCUCGAAAUGCCCCCUUUGGACUUACAGCAGAAACUCCAUUUCGUGGCAACCUGGAAUGUAAAGGUCGGCUUUGGUAAACUAACCUGUCCCACUUUCCAGCCUAUUGGCCAGAUGUACCUGACCUCUUACUCAUUGUGUCGAUUAACCUCCGACCAGAGUGGAAGAGACCCAGCUGGCAGCCCUGGCGUGACGGUUAGAAAUAAACCCUAUUUUUAAUGAAUCCGGUGUGCUGUGCACUGGUCCAAGUAUCCAACAAACAAGUGCUUUAGUUUUUUUAUUUAUUUUUUUCUCAUCAGCAGUAAGUCUUGCUCGCUGCAUAAAUGCGAUUUUCAAUUUCCUCCUGAGAGCAGCAACUCUCUCAGUGCUAUUUUUGGCCAGAAGCUCAUUUGUUACAUUCUACUCUGUUUGUCUCUGCUGUCAUAACAGCAGUGGAGAUUCACGAGCACGCCACACUUUCUAUUUUUUUUUCAGCCCCCUGGCAUGUGAAAGACGUCUAAGAGCCACUGUGCUCACUCCCGUUCACGUUUACAUUUUCAACCUCAGGAAGAGCCAAUGAAAUACACGAGUCCCGAUAUCCCUAAGAGCUGAUAUUGCAGAGGCACAUGUGAUUAUAUAUACUUGAAUCCCAUGAAUGUUGAUAUCCCUGAGUCACAUUAAUGCUGAUAUCCCUGAGUCACAUAAAUGCUGAUAUCCCUGAGUCACAUUAAUGCAGAUGUCCCUGGGUCACAUUAAUGCAGAUGUCCCUGAGUCACAUUAAUGCUGAUAUCUCUGAGUCACAUUAAUGCUGAUAUCCCUGAGUCACAUUAAUGCUGAUAUCCCUGAGUCACAUUAAUCCUGAUAUCCCUGAGUCACAUUAAUGCUGAUAUCCCUGAGUCACAUUAAUCCUGCUUUCCCUGAGUCACAUUAAUCCUGAUAUCCCUGAAUCCCAUGAAUGCAGAUGUCCCUGAGUCACAUUAAUCCUGAUAUCCCUGAGUCACUUUAAUGCUGAUAUCCCUGAGUCACAUUAAUGCCGAUAUCCCUGGGUCACAUUAAUGCUGAUAUCCCUGAGUCACAUUAAUCCUGAUAUCCCUGAAUCACAUGAAUGCUAAUAUCCCCAAGUUGCAUGAUGUUACAUUCCCUUGCAUUGUGGAGUCUGUAUGCCCAUCUCAGUUCUGCAGGUGGAGCUGAUUGAUGGCUUAAUUGCCGGAUGAUGCACACCUGUGUCCACCUGACAGCCAAGUGGAUAAAGACAUUUCAGGGAGAGAUGGUUGGGGAUUUUUUUUUUUUUUUUUCACUCAGAUUCCUUUUAAGACUCUUUGCUUUUGUGUGUUUUUACAUUUUGCAGUUAUUAUAUUUUGUUUUCUGUUUAUGUCUUGUUUUGGAACUUUUCUGUGGUAGGUUGCAGGUGGUCAGGCAGUUUCUUUUCUUUCCUGUUUUAACAUGUUUUUAGAUAGUUAGACCAGAGUAGGAAUAACAUUUACCGGGAGACUCACUCCUUUUGCUUUGUCCCGGUAGAGAGGUUUUAAAAUGUGCUUUCUUUUAGAUUAGGAGUAGCCUACCUCUGGUUUGUCUUCUGCCUGAACCAUCCUGUUAGCCUACACAUGGUAAUGCGUUCUGUUUUUUGUCUCAUUGUUUGUAAUAAAUCUUAUCUUUUUGUUGUUGUAUUUAUAA